AGGCGCACAUAAUAUACAUAUCGAUAGGAACGCAACUCGCGCGUCACCUGUCGGCUGGCUCGUGCGGUGCUCGUUUCGUGGAACUCCAUCCGAACCCACACCCCAGCGCACUCCACCCUUCCGCCAGUCCUUCGCUGACCAUGUGGCAGCGCAUACGUCUACUGCAGACCUUGGCGUCCCAGAAAGCAGCGGCAACCGCUGCCGCAGGCGCCGCAAGCAGCUCCCCCUCAGCAGCAGCAGCAGCACCGCCGUCGGUGGCGGCAGACAACGAGCGCUCCUUCCUACGCAAUCUGAUCCCGAUGCGUGUGUACAGCUCCGGCCCACCCUCCAUCUACCUGCGUCACGCCUUCCUGAACCAAGAUCGCCUCAUUCGCCGCUUCCUGGGCGCCCUCGAGACCGUUCCGCUGCCGUCGCUGCCGCGGAUGCUGCUCGCGGAGGGUUUCCAGCGGAUGCUGGAGGGUGACGUGCCGCAGCGCGAGCUGCGCGAGUUGUUCGAAGAUGCGGAGGUGGAGUGCCGCAAGAUGCUGCUGCAUAUGGACGUUAGCAAAGGCGGCCACCGCCGCUACCACGACUCGCACGCCGACCCGCGCGAUCAAGAGACGUGGCACGCUGUGAGGCACGACCCACUGCGCCGCCUCCUCGCCCACGAGCUCCGUGCGGCGUGCAGCCACUACGCACGGCUGAUGGCGGUGUCGAGCAGCCCCUACGUCCCAGCAGCCGUCAUCGUGCGCACCAUCAUCGCCUCUGACGUGCGCACUGACAACUUUCUGGUGAAGAUGACGCUCGCGUUCGAAAGACACCCGCGCAACGUGGAAACGGGAGAGCGCGUCGGAGAGGCGAUGCCGCCGGUGGUGGAGGAGCUGAUGAAAGAGCUGCUGCUGCUGGAGCGGGACGCCUUCGGCUGCUUUCGCUUCGACCCGCGUGGCGACAACCACCACCUCGUGCACAGCCUCAAGCUCGCCGACAUGACCAAGACACCGCGGUCUUUCAGCAUAAUGCGCGACCCGCUCAUGAAGAGGUACGGCAACUACCGCGUCGAGUGCGAGGAGGUGCACAAGGGCCGCUGGAAUCAGUACAAGGUCCACUGCGGCCCCGAAGACCACCGCAUCGACCCGGCGUUGCCGCUGUUCGAGUCCGUCGUCGCCACGGACCCCAUCACCGGCGGCGCCUUGAACAUGCUUGUACACUACGACGAGCCCAUCUGCCUUCGCCACAAGCACAGCUCGCGCGAGGAGAAGGGCAACUUCGGUCACACCGAGGUGUUUGAGCUGGCCAUGGAUGUCACGAACCGCACGUUCUGGGAGCGUUACUUCCUCGACCGGUGAAGGAGGCGUAGAUAGCGAGACGAUGGCGAGGAACGACCGAUGCGGUCGUCGUCCUGGGUGAUCGCCGUGUCAGCAGACAUGCAUGUGUGCGCUCUCGCCACUGCCGCUGUCCUCUGCCGUCCUUCUCGCCGUCCUCCCGUCGUCGCAUGACGCCUGCUUCCAUGUAGGGCAUCCCGAAGCGCCUGGUGAUGAUGUGGCAUGUCGCCUACGCAGCACGAGGCGAGCGCGAGAGAGGAGGGGCGAUGGUAGCGGGGUAGUCUUGCCUCUCUUGCCCGCGCCCAUACACCAGCCGCAUCGAAGGUAGCGAUGGCGAUGGCCGGCAUGAGUGCCGUGUGGUGAGCAAGUGCGCAGAGAGGAUCACGCUGGAUCCCUCCGCGUGGAGGGGCUCAGUGACGCGGAGGCUGAUUCUGCGGUGAGUUGACGGGGUCUGUCUUUGCAUCCGUCCCCCUCCACCGCCGCCUGUGUCGCUCCUCCCAUCCAUUAACUCUCUCACUGCGCGUGCGUGUGUGUGCGUGUGUGCCUGCGUCCGCGUGUCAGGGUGGGGAGGGAAGGGGGAGCGAUGGCGUCAGUCGGGAGCAACGCGCCGCCCUCUGCCACUGUCGGACAAACGCGCGCACUCGCACGCACGUGAGCGCCCACACGCGAGGGCACGCCUUCCCGGCGCCCCGCUCAUCUCCCGCUGUAGUGUUCUUCACCGGUGCGCCUGUCCGCCACGUCGAUGCAGCACUGCAGCAUCAUCCCUGGCCACCGAGACCCACCUGAACAGCCUUCUGACAAGCAACAGAGUGACGCUGAUCACGGCGAUGAGGACAGGGCGGAAGCGCUGCCCACCGCCGUCGGUGCGCCAGCGACGCUGACCGUGUGCCACGGCGAGUCGGGCAGCAAUCACAAGCCGCGGAAGAAGUCUAUGAGCUCCGGGCAAGACAGCUGCUCCCGCGAAACGGCCCAACGCGCACACGCGCAUGCCUUGAGGUGUCCCCCCUCCUCGCCUCUAUCGAACGCCGCUGCCGGCGCCGCCCUCGCACUUCGGCCGACGUGCCACAGCCUCCGCGAAGUGUGCCGAUGGCGCCAGACGCGCACCCGCGCGCUGUGGAGGAGUUGUGUGAGCUGAGUACCCAUCAGUGGCAAGUGGCAGCCAGCGCCUUUGCUGGCGUCUGGCGUCGAAGCGGAUGCGCAGCCUCCCAACCUUCCUGUGCGUCGUGCGUUGCCGCCACCCCGCACGACCCGGCAUGGACACGGCCGAGCGCGUGACGCUCAAUGCCUAUCGCGCGGUUGUGGCGGCCUCGCCGAUGGCAGCACCAAACCUGCCGCGUAAAGGCGCUCGUCAUCUGCAGUCGCACCAGUACGCGGGGUCGCCGAAAGCGUGGCAACAACAGCCGCAGCAUCAUCGAGCCCUUCGCUCGCUCGCUCACGCUCCGUCAGUGCUGUGUGUGCUCGACACGGCCGUGUGCGUUGCCGUCUGUAUGUCUGAAUGGCCCUUUCUCUGGGCGUCAGUUGUGCUACCCACCGUUUCCGUGCAUCGCAUCUGUUGCCGCUUGCGUCCUCGCAUUCACCCUGCUCCGAUGCUGUUUUUCACCACCGACACCGCCAUCAUCAUCCCUCCCACUCCUCACUGUGCAUGUAUCUCUGUGAGGGCGGGGAUGUAGCCGUUUGAUGGCUACGCCACGCCAUUUCACUCCCCUCUCUCGUCUCGGCCGCUCGCCUGCUGAUGCGUGCGCCUCCGUCUUUCUCUCUGGCUGCGUGCCAGCUACCGGUCUCGGGGCAAGGACACGGGGUCGAGCAUGUCGUCCCUCCACGGUACCCUCCUCGCAGCGCAGUGCAGCGCCGCACAUGGACACCACAGAAAGGGAAGGUGACGAAAAUUAAAGAAGAGCAGCAACGCCGACACAGUGCGACGCACACGCGCGCACACGUGAUCACUCCGCAGCACGCGUGCCCGCCUGCGUGCGCAGCUGCCAAGUCGAGGAUGUGGACACACGCACGGGCCUGUGAGCAC
rnacentral:misc_RNA from 1 species